UCGUUUAGCUAUGAAAGCCCAGCUAGGCAAUGACGCGAGCUCAUCCAGUAACUCUCUAAAUGGUGAACGUUGCAUAUGGCGCGACUUUUGGAAGAUCCCAGCACCGCCUAAGGUGAAGAUUUUUGCCUGGCGAUUGGCUACGAACGGAUUAGCUACUCAGGAGAACCGGAGGAAGAGCAAAUUGGUGAUAGAUGAUACGUGCCGCAUCAGUGGUUCUGAACAGGAAAAUGCAUUCCACGCCGUGGUAUCUUGUCCUAAGUCUGUGGCUCUACGACAGGAGAUCGGCCAGACCUGGAACACGCCUGAUGACACCUUGCUUCGGUAUGAUGGACCGGAUUGGUUGCUGCUGCUCCUCCUGGACAAAUUGAGUGGGGAGGAUAGAGUUAAAUUUCUUCUGGUCCUGUGGCGUUCCUGGCAUUUGAGGAAUGAUUCGUUGUUUGGGCAGGGUAAGGCGUCAGUUCGGAGCUCGGUCCUGUUUCUUCAAAGUUUCUGGGAAACUCUUUCCCAAAUUAAGGUUGGUGGUGCAGUGGAUGUGAAGGGGAAAUCUCCUGUGGGGAAUCGAUGGAAGGCGCCACCGGUGGGAUGGGUUAAAAUAAAUGUUGAUGGGGAGAAGCGGGGGCUGGCGUUGUUAUCAGGGACCAUCUGGGGAGUGUCCUGCUAUCUUCUUGGAAAGAGGAGGCAGAAGCAACUGCGUGUAUGGAAGGGAUCCGACUCGCGGCGGAAUGGGUAA
rnacentral:lncRNA from 1 species